rnacentral:rRNA from 1 species
GAUGAACGCUGGCGGCGUGCCUAAUACAUGCAAGUCGAGCGAACAGACGAGGAGCUUGCUCCUCUGACGUUAGCGGCGGACGGGUGAGUAACACGUGGAUAACCUACCUAUAAGACUGGGAUAACUUCGGGAAACCGGAGCUAAUACCGGAUAAUAUAUUGAACCGCAUGGUUCAAUAGUGAAAGACGGUUUUGCUGUCACUUAUAGAUGGAUCCGCGCCGCAUUAGCUAGUUGGUAAGGUAACGGCUUACCAAGGCAACGAUGCGUAGCCGACCUGAGAGGGUGAUCGGCCACACUGGAACUGAGACACGGUCCAGACUCCUACGGGAGGCAGCAGGAGGGAAUCUUCCGCAAUGGGGGAAAGCCUGACGGAGCAACGCCGCGUGAGUGAUGAAGGUCUUCGGAUCGUAAAACGCUGUUAUUAGGGAAGAACAAAUGUGUAAGUAACUAUGCACGUCUGGACGGUACCUAAUCAGAAAGCCACGGCUAACUACGU